UACAGAGGGUGCAAGCGUUUAAUCGGAAUUACUGGGCGUAAAGCGUGCGUAGACGGUUAUGUAAGUCAGAUGUGAAAGCCCCGGGCUUAACCUGGGAAUGGCAUUUGAGACUGCAUAGCUAGGGUGCGGAAGAGGGAAGCGGAAGUUUCCGGUGUGAGCGGGUAGUAAAUGCGUAGAUAGUACGGAAGGAACACCAGUGGCGAAAGGCGGC
rnacentral:rRNA from 1 species